rnacentral:misc_RNA from 1 species
UCGAGUUUGGUUACCUUUUAGGUACCUUCUCCCACCAAUUGUGAACCUUUUUAAUUGUUGCCUCGGUGGGUGGGUAGGUAGUUUAACCUUCUACCAUCAGUUAAGUCUGAAAACCCACCGAAGGAUUUUUCAAACUCGUUUUAACUGUGAAAUCUGAGUUAAAAAACAAAAAUUUAAACA